UAACACAUGCAAGUCGAGCGAUGAAGCACCUUCGGGUGUGAAUUAGCGGCGAACGGGUGAGGAACACGUGAAGAAUCUGCCUUCAACUCUGGGAUAACUCCGGGAAACCGGGGCUAAUACCGGAUAUGAGCCUUGAUCGCAUGAUCGGGGCUGGAAAGUUUUUCGGUUGAAGAUGACUUCGCGGCCUAUCAGCUUGUUGGUGAGGUAAUGGCUCGCCAAGGCGACGACGGGUAGCCGGCCUGAGAGGGCGACCGGCCACACUGGGACUGAGACACGGCCCAGACUCCUACGGGAGGCAGCAGUGGGGAAUAUUGGGCAAUGGAGGAAACUCUGACCCAGCGACGCCGCGUGAGGGAUGAAGGCCUUCGGGUUGUAAACCUCUUUCAGUAGGGAAGAAGCGAAAGUGACGGUACCUACAGAAGAAGCACCGGCUAACUAUGUGCCAGCAGCCGCGGUAAUACAUAGGGUGCAAGCGUUGUCCGGAAUUAUUGGGCGUAAAGAGCUCGUAGGUGGUUCGAUACGUCGGAUGUGAAAAUCAGGGGCUCAACCCCUGACCUGCAUCCGAUACGGUCGAGCUAGAGUUUGGUAGGGGAGACUGGAAUUCCUGGUGUAGCGGUGGAAUGCGCAGAUAUCAGGAGGAACACCGAUGGCGAAGGCAGGUCUCUGGGCCAAUACUGACACUGAGGAGCGAAAGCGUGGGGAGCGAACAGGAUUAGAUACCCUGGUAGUCCACGCCGUAAACGGUGGGCGCUAGUUGUGCGAACCUUCCACGGUUUGUGCGACGCAGCUAACGCAUUAAGCGCCCCGCCUGGGGAGUACGAUCGCAAGAUUAAAACUCAAAGGAAUUGACGG
rnacentral:rRNA from 1 species